AAGUUCUGUGUCUGUUGAUUGUAGAGAAGCUUUUAUGCAUCUCUAUCAGUUCUAUGAGAAACUGUAAAACAAUUUACAAUUUUAUGAAUAUUUUCACGUUUAUGUUUUAAAUUCUAAGGUGCAUAGCUUUACUUAUAAAUGUGUUACUCUACAGGUAAACAAUUGUGAUGGAACUUAAUUAGAGAACUCACCCAAGGUCACCAUGGAUUUUCAGUAAAGCUGAAUAAAGCAUAAAGUUGGUUCCAAACUACAUCAAAGAAACAGGGUGGAGGGUUCUAUGACCAGGUUGGACAUGCUCCAUUUGACAGAUGGGACAUUUAUCACCAUUAUCAUCAUCAUCAUCACCACCACCAGCAGCAGCAGCAGCAACACAAUUAUAACUUUGAUGACCCAUAAGUAGAUAGGAAAGAAAAUGUUAGAGUUGGAAUUCUGUGUUGGAGAGACUCACACAGAAGCUAACUAUUAUAGAUUCAACAAUCCCAAUGCAGGUGUGACAUGAAGGAUUCUAUCUUUACUGUGGUAGUUUUUAUAUGCUUGGCCCAGGGAGUGACACUAUUUGGAGAUGUAUCCUUGUUUGAGUAAGUGUGUCACUGUAGGAGUGGGGAAUGAGAACCUACUCCUAACCACACAGGAGCCAGUCUUCUCCUGUUUGCCUUUGGAAUGAGA